CACUUCUUGUACAAGCACUGUGCUAAAACUAUGGAAGUCGGGGUUCUGCCUCUUCCUCUGUAGUAAUGCUAGCAUGGUACACACGAGAAGAAAAGUAAAUGCACUGGAUCUGUAAAAGACUAGGGUGGACCUCUUUCUUAAUGUUCAGUGUCCUGGUCUGGAGACUUGGUGCAACACUA
rnacentral:snoRNA from 11 species